rnacentral:rRNA from 1 species
CCUACGGGGGGCAGCAAUUAGGAAUCUUGCACAAUGGGCGAAAGCCUGAUGCAGCGACGUCGCGUGGAGGAUGAAAUCUUUCGGGAUGUAAACUCCUUUUCUCAGGGAGACGGUACCUGAGGAAUAAGCCCCGGCUAACUACGUGCCAGCAGCCGCGGUAAUACGUAGGGGGCGAGCGUUGUCCGAAGUUACUGGGCGUAAAGAGCCGUAGGCGGACCCUUAAGUGAGGGGUGAAAGGUUCGGGCUCAACCCGGAGAGUGCCUUUCAUACUGGGGGUCUUGAGUGCGGGAGAGGCAAGUGGAAUGGUCGGUGUAGCGGUGAAAUGCGUAGAUAUCGAUCGGAACACCCGUGGCGAAGGCGGCUUGCUGGCUCGCACUGACGCUGGGCGCGAAAGCGUGGGGAGCAAACAGGAUUAGAUACCCUUGUAGUC